AUUGCUUCUCAGCCUUUCGGCUAAGAUCAAGUGUAAUAUUUGUCAUUUUGCAAAUUGACAGAAAUUCCUGUACCAGAAGUGAUGCAUGACACAAAGUGUUGUCAUGAAGGAGGAUAAUACCAUUUGCCCAUUUCUCAGACCCUUUUUCUAUGCACAUCAUUUCUUAUACUCAUGAAAAACAUCAUGGUGCAUCCUCA
ensembl:snRNA U2 U2 spliceosomal RNA